AACCUAGCACACCUGCGGUGUGUACCUGCGGAGGGAUUAUUAACGAAUAUCUAUGGCGUUGGUUGUAGCUGGCUCCUAGGAGCAUUUGUGCACACCCGUCAUUCAUAUCAUCUUUCCACCUGUGAACUAUGUGUAGGCUUGGAUACCUCUCGCUUUGGUGACAAGGCGGAUGCAAGGAUUGCUGCGUCGACAAGGCCAGCUCUCUUUGAAUUUCCAGGUCUAUGUCUUUUUACACACUCC
rnacentral:misc_RNA from 1 species